AUGCAGUCGAGCGAACAGAUAAGGAGCUUGCUCCUUUGACGUUAGCGGCGGACGGGUGAGUAACACGUGGGUAACCUACCUAUAAGACUGGAAUAACUUCGGGAAACCGAAGCUAAUGCCGGAUAACAUGUAGAACCGCAUGGUUCUACAGUGAAAGAUGGCCUUGCUAUCACUUAUAGAUGGACCCGCGCCGUAUUAGCUAGUUGGUAAGGUAACGGCUUACCAAGGCAACGAUACGUAGCCGACCUGAGAGGGUGAUCGGCCACACUGGAACUGAGACACGGUCCAGACUCCUACGGGAGGCAGCAGUAGGGAAUCUUCCGCAAUGGGCGAAAGCCUGACGGAGCAACGCCGCGUGAGUGAUGAAGGUCUUCGGAUCGUAAAGCUCUGUUAUUAGGGAAGAACAAGUGCGUAAGUAACUGUGCGCACCUUGACGGUACCUAAUCAGAAAGCCACGGCUAACUACGUGCCAGCAGCCGCGGUAAUACGUAGGUGGCAAGCGUUAUCCGGGAAUUAUUGGGCGUAAAGCGCGCGUAGGCGGUUUCUUAAGUCUGAUGUGAAAGCCCACGGCUCAACCGUGGAGGGUCAUUGGAAACUGGGAGACUUGAGUGCAGAAGAGGAAAGUGGAAUUCCAUGUGUAGCGGUGAAAUGCGCAGAGAUAUGGAGGAACACCAGUGGCGAAGGCGACUUUCUGGUCUGUAACUGACGCUGAUGUGCGAAAGCGUGGGGAUCAAACAGGAUUAGAUACCCUGGUAGUCCACGCCGUAAACGAUGAGUGCUAAGUGUUAGGGGGUUUCCGCCCCUUAGUGCUGCAGCUAACGCAUUAAGCACUCCGCCUGGGGAGUACGACCGCAAGGUUGAAACUCAAAGGAAUUGACGGGGACCCGCACAAGCGGUGGAGCAUGUGGUUUAAUUCGAAGCAACGCGAAGAACCUUACCAAAUCUUGACAUCCUUUGACCACUCUGGAGACAGAGUUUUCCCCUUCGGGGGACAAAGUGACAGGUGGUGCAUGGUUGUCGUCAGCUCGUGUCGUGAGAUGUUGGGUUAAGUCCCGCAACGAGCGCAACCCUUAAGCUUAGUUGCCAUCAUUAAGUUGGGCACUCUAAGUUGACUGCCGGUGACAAACCGGAGGAAGGUGGGGAUGACGUCAAAUCAUCAUGCCCCUUAUGAUUUGGGCUACACACGUGCUACAAUGGACAAUACAAAGGGCAGCUAAACCGCGAGGUCAUGCAAAUCCCAUAAAGUUGUUCUCAGUUCGGAUUGUAGUCUGCAACUCGACUACAUGAAGCUGGAAUCGCUAGUAAUCGUAGAUCAGCAUGCUACGGUGAAUACGUUCCCGGGUCUUGUACACACCGCCCGUCACACCACGAGAGUUUGUAACACCCGAAGCCGGUGGAGUAACCAUUAUGGAGCUAGCCG
rnacentral:rRNA from 1 species